rnacentral:rRNA from 1 species
UACGGGGGGAGCAAGCGUUGUUCGGAUUUACUGGGCGUAAAGGGCGCGUAGGCGGUCGUGACAAGUCACUUGUGAAAUCUCCGGGCUUAACUCGGAACGGUCAAGUGAUACUGUCGGACUAGAGUACAGAAGGGGCAACUGGAAUUCUCGGUGUAGCGGUGAAAUGCGUAGAUAUCGAGAGGAACACCAGUGGCGAAGGCGGCUCACUGGCCCGGUACUGACGCUGAGGUGCGAAAGCGUGGGGAGCAAACAGG